rnacentral:tRNA from 1 species
GACUCAUUCGUCUAGCGGUUAGGACACCGGAUUCUCAGUCCGGGAACAGGGGUUCGAUUCCCCUAUGGGUUACCA